AGAGCGAACGCUGGCGGCAGGCCUAACACAUGCAAGUCGAGCGCCCCGCAAGGGGAGCGGCAGACGGGAGAGUAACACGUGGGAACGUACCCUUCAGUACGGAACAACCAAGGGAAACUUUGGCUAAUACCGUAUACGUCCGUAAGGAGAAAGAUUUAUCGCUGAAGGAUCGGCCCGCGUCUGAUUAGCUAGUUGGUGAGGUAAUGGCUCACCAAGGCGACGAUCAGUAGCUGGUCUGAGAGGAUGAUCAGCCACAUUGGGACUGAGACACGGCCCAAACUCCUACGGGAGGCAGCAGUGGGGAAUAUUGGACAAUGGGCGCAAGCCUGAUCCAGCCAUGCCGCGUGAGUGAUGAAGGCCCUAGGGUUGUAAAGCUCUUUUGUGCGGGAAGAUAAUGACGGUACCGCAAGAAUAAGCCCGGCUAACUUCGCGCCAGCAGCCGC
rnacentral:rRNA from 1 species